GAGGGCCGACGGCCCGCCGCUCCGGGCGCGGGCGCAAGCCCGCGGCCGGGGAGGAAAGUCCGAGCUCCGCAGGACAGGGUGGUUCCUAACGGGAACCGGUUUCGCGCGCAAGCGCGGGGCCAGGGACAGCGCAACAGAAAAUACACCGCCUCCCGGCGGCUGGGCCGCCGCGGGGCAAGGGUGAAAAGGCGGGGUAAGAGCCCACCGGCGCGGCGGCGACGCCGCGGCCUGGCAAGCCCCACCCGGAGAAAGGCCAAAUGGCGGUGCGUGGGCUCCGGCCCCCACGCCGGUCCGGCUGAAGUCCCGCGAAAGCGGGAUCGCACCCAGGUAGGCCGUUCGAGGGCCGCCGUGAGGCGGCUCCCAGAGAAAUGGCGGGCUCCCCGCCGUCGCCGCAAGGCGACCGCGGGCAGACAGAACUCGGCUUAUGUCGGCCUUCCGUU
rnacentral:RNase_P_RNA from 1 species